rnacentral:rRNA from 1 species
CCCACCAAGGCAUCGAUCGGUAGGGGUUCUGAGAGGAAGGUCCCCCACACUGGAACUGAGACACGGUCCAGACUCCUACGGGAGGCAGCAGUGAGGAAUAUUGGUCAAUGGCCGUAAGGCUGAACCAGCCAAGUAGCGUGAGGGAAGACUGCCCUAUGGGUUGUAAACCUCUUUUAUGCGGGGAUAAAGGUGUCCACGUGUGGAUGUUUGCAGGUACCGCAUGAAUAAGGACCGGCUAAUUCCGUGCCAGCAGCCGCGGUAAUACGGAAGGUCCGGGCGUUAUCCGGAUUUAUUGGGUUUAAAGGGAGCGUAGGCCGGUCUUUAAGCGUGCCGUGAAAUUUUGUGGCUCAACCAUGAGAGUGCGGCGCGAACUGGAGACCUUGAGUGCGCGGAAGGCAGGCGGAAUUCGUGGUGUAGCGGUGAAAUGCUUAGAUAUCACGAAGAACCCCGGUUGCGAAGGCAGCCUGCCGCAGCGUUACUGACGCUGAAGCUCGAAAGCGCGGGUAUCGAACAGGAUUAGAUACCCUGGUAGUCCGCGCGGUAAACGAUGGAUGCCCGCUGUCGGCGAUAUACAGUCG